CUACGGGGGGCACCAGUGAGGAAUUUUGCGCAAUGGGGGAAACCCUGACGCAGCAACGCCGCGUGAGCGAAGAAGGCCUUCGGGUCGUAAAGCUCUGUCAAGUGGGAAAAAAAUUCUUUGAUGAACAGUCAAAGGACUUGAUGGUACCACUGGAGGAAGCACCGGCUAACUCCGUGCCAGCAGCCGCGGUAAUACGGUAGGGUGCAAGCGUUGUUCGGAAUUACUGGGCGUAAAGAGCGUGGAGGCGGUUUGACAAGUCAGAUGUGAAAGCCCCGGGCUCAACCCGGGAAGUGCAUUUGAAACUGUUUCACUAGAGUAUGGGAGAGGAGAUUGGAAUUCCUGGUGUAGAGGUGAAAUUCGUAGAUAUCAGGAGGAACACCCGUGGCGAAGGCGAUUCUCUGGACCAAUACUGACGCUGAGACGCGAAAGCGUGGGGAGCAAACAGGAUUAGAUACCCCCGUAGUC
rnacentral:rRNA from 1 species